AGGCACACUUUUACGUUCUAAAUAAUUAUGAAGAAAUUAAAGAUUUUAUUGAGUAAGUACCAUCUUAACAUACUGUUUAAUAUUUUAAGUAAUUUUUUUAUAUCGAUGUAAAAUUAAAAAUCAUAAUUUGUUGCAGUGAGCACAAGAGUAUACUAUGUAGAGAGAAUAAUACAGAUGCUGAUGAUCGACAUAAGAGAAAAUUUACAAAAUAAUUUGAUGACCUUGUA
rnacentral:lncRNA from 1 species